rnacentral:rRNA from 1 species
UGGGGAAUAUUGCGCAAUGGCCGCAAGGCUGACGCAGCGACGCCGCGUGUGGGAUGACGGCCUUCGGGUUGUAAACCACUGUCGGGGGGGACGAAUACAGGGCUUCGAAUAGGGGACCCUGGGUGACGGUACCCUCAAAGGAAGCACCGGCUAACUCCGUGCCAGCAGCCGCGGUAAUACGGAGGGUGCGAGCGUUAAUCGGAAUUACUGGGCGUAAAGCGUGCGUAGGUGGUUUGUUAAGUCAGGUGUGAAAUCCUCGGGCUCAACCCGGGAACUGCGCUUGAUACUGGCAGACUCGAGUGUGGUAGAGGAUAGUGGAAUUCCCGGUGUAGCGGUGAAAUGCGUAGAUAUCGGGAGGAACAUCAGUGGCGAAGGCGGCUCUCUGGACUAACCCUGACGCUGAGGUGCGAAAGCGUGGGUAGCGAACGGGAUUAGAUACCCCGGUAGUCCACGCUGUAAACGAUGGAUACUAGGUGUAGGGGAUGAAAAAUUUUCUGUGCCGUAGCAAACGCGAUAAGUAUCCCGCCUGGGGAGUACGACCGCAAGGUUA